ACAACUCUAUAAAAUAUAGGUAUUGUAUUGUGAAGUGAAAUCACAAAAUUAUCAGUUGAAUUUGGAAGCAUGGCAAAAAACUGUAUCAUCUUCUCCCCUUUCUGGUUCGGUUUGCUUUUCCUAGUUUUUAUUGCUGUCAUUUCUGAAGGAGGAGGAGGCGUGAGUGGUCAAAAUUUAUACUGUGAUCCUGGUACUGGAGUUCCUCGUGGAGCUCAAUCAAUGGAUUUUUGCAGUACCCGUUGUCCAAGUUAUUGUUUGACAACCUAUGGGGGUUUGGGAGUAACUACGGGGAAGUGCUUUAAUAUGCCCAUUGUCAAUACUCAAACACAAAUUUGUUUCUGUUGUGUUGUGUUGAAGUCCUGAAUCUACUGAUACAUUGUUAUUGCACCACCACCACCACCAGUAUACAUGUACCAACUCCAACCACCAUGUUGAAUGCUCACAGAUUUGUCGUACCCAAAAGCUAAUAUUAAAGCAAUAAAAUAAAUUCAAGCUAUGCCGUAGCUCUUAUGAUUUCA